UACGUAGGCAGCAAGCGUUGUUCGGAGUUACUGGGCGUAAAGAGUGCGUAGGCGGUCCUGUAAGUUUGGUGUGAAAUCUCCCGGCUCAACUGGGAGGGUGCGCCGAAGACUGCAGGGCUUGAGUAUGGGAGAGGUAAGCGGAAUUCCUGGUGUGGCGGUGAAAUGCGUAGAUAUCAGGAGGAACACCUGUGGUGUAGACAGCUUACUGGACCAUCACUGACGCUGAGGCACGAAAGCGUGGGUAGCAAACAGG
rnacentral:rRNA from 1 species